rnacentral:rRNA from 1 species
UACGGGGGGGGCAAGCGUUGUUCGGAAUUACUGGGCGUAAAGGGCUCGUAGGCGGCCAACUAAGUCAGACGUGAAAUCCCUCGGCUUAACCGGGGAACUGCGUCUGAUACUGGAUGGCUAGAGUUUGGGAGAGGGAUGCGGAAUUCCAGGUGUAGCGGUGAAAUGCGUAGAUAUUGGGAAGAACACCGGUGGCGAAAGCGCCUUGCUGGGUCUGCACUGACACUGAGGGACGAAAGCUAGGGGAGCGAAAGGG